rnacentral:lncRNA from 1 species
GGGAGCCUGGCCCAAUCUCAGAUGCCAACCAGGCUACAGGUGCAUGCUGGAGGCAGAAGCUGGGCUGGUGGAGCUUGGGAGCUGUGUCUGCAGCUGCCUCCAGGAACACCAACCAGUGCUGUGUGGCACCACUUUGCAAAUUGUGAAGAUGUUUAUGCUGAAUUGUCCUACUACAGAAAUUGUAUAAUUCAUCCAGGAAAUAAAAUGGCUCCAACGACUAACUUGAGAGUCACAUAAAAAAAUCAGUGAGUACUGCCAGCUUUCUAAGGUUUUAUAAUACUGUUCCCUUAGACUGUUAAAAUUCUAGUCAACUUGUUAAAUAUUUACUUAUUUAACAAACAUGCUGUUUUAAUCUCUCUCCUAUACCCUUAAGUAAUGAAUGACAAAGCACAACAAGAAGGAUACUCACCUAGUUUAUUUUAGAUUAGGGAAAACAGGGACUGGUAGGUAUAACAUACUGAAUAGAAUAGGUAUUUAUAAAAAAUAGCAAAAUGUAGGUAGUUUAGAUGACCAAGAGUAAACUCUAAGAGUUUAUAGUAGUUAAGAGUUUAGAAGACUUUAUUGCUCCAAGCCUUGGAGAUUCCUUAUACCUCGCUAGAUCAUUAUUAUUCUCUUAGCAACAAAAGAUUAAAAAAAAGUUCAUAAAAAAAAAUCUCAGGAUAAGAUCACAAACAUGUAGCAGCAAGAAUAACAAUGCCACACACAUCCCUUUGUCACCCAGUGACAAGAAUGGGCACAUCUGUUGUAAAUCUGGAGUUAAUCUUUUUGGGAAGAAGAGGGGAAUAGGAUUUGGAUGUUGAAUCCUUUCAUUAUCUUUCCUUUGUGUGGGAUAUGAAGGACAGUGAACCAGAGCACAGCUAGAUAUGGCCACAGGCAUCCAAGGCAGCCUAGGUGCAUUGAUUGCUUCAGCACCUGCAAGCAAGAUUGCUGAGCUUGAGAGACAAGUUUCCAUGUUACACAAUAUGAAGACUAAAAAGUUCCUGGAUUGUAUUUUUAGAGAUGUAAGUGUGCUUAGCAAAGGACGGUCUGAGGUACACAGUGCAAGAAGAGAGGGAUAGAUGAAAGCUGAGUUACUGUGACUGGAACAUAGAAAGUCAGGCAGUCAUCCAGAAGGGAUUGUGAAUGUGGGAGCACCAGAGUGUGUCCCUGGAGGUGUUACUGGUGUUACUGGCAGGUGAUGAACACACAACCCUGGGGUGAAA